rnacentral:rRNA from 1 species
GAUGAACGCUGGCGGCGUGCCUAAUACAUGCAAGUCGAGCGAACAGACGAGGAGCUUGCUCCCCUGACGUUAGCGGCGGACGGGUGAGUAACACGUGGAUAACCUACCUAUAAGACUGGGAUAACUUCGGGAAACCGGAGCUAAUACCGGAUAAUAUAUUGAACCGCAUGGUUCAAUAGUGAAAGACGGUUUUGCUGUCACUUAUAGAUGGAUCCGCGCCGCAUUAGCUAGUUGGUAAGGUAACGGCUUACCAAGGCAACGAUGCGUAGCCGACCUGAGAGGGUGAUCGGCCACACGGGAACUGAGACACGGUCCAGACUCCUACGGGAGGCAGCAGUAGGGAAUCUUCCGCAAUGGGCGAAAGCCUGACGGAGCAACGCCGCGUGAGUGAUGAAGGUCUUCGGAUCGUAAAACUCUGUUAUUAGGGAAGAACAAAUGUGUAAGUAACUAUGCACGUCUUGACGGUACCUAAUCAGAAAGCCACGGCUAACUACGUG